CUCACAAACUGGGUCGUCAAAUUUGAGUUUCCAAGGGGGCUCUCAGUUCCCCCAUGACUCUAGAGAAGGAAAAAUAGAAAGCAUUAUAGGUGUUCAGACUGGUCACAGAAGACAUCUUCGCAAGGCAGUUCCUAUCACAGCCAGCUGAUGUCACCAACGGGGCAUGGGGGAGAUGGAGGAAAGAAACAACAGAAGAGACGAAGAGGAAGGAGGGACGACGGAGCAAAAGUGAAGACAUGAUAUACGGCCGAGGACAUAGGGAGACAAAACCAGACUGACAAGCUGAAGACUCAAACAUUAAUCAAACUGCGCUCCGGAACAACCUUUCCCUCGCAUUAAUAAAUACAUUUGCGGCCCCUCAUUGGACA
ensembl:lncRNA novel transcript